CGCCCACAGACGACCCGAACCGCCAGCCGGGCGUUAGGAAGUCUAGUUCCGGCUGCGCCAUUGCUGUGCUUGAACCCGAGACUGCCACGUCCUGCGGGGACCAAGUGGUGGGCGAGGAGGCGUGGAGCGGCUUCAGGACUCAAGGAGAGGUUCCGAAGCAGCUAGGAACUUUUGCCUUUGCCUCACGAGGUCGAUCGGAAGACAACCCCCAUCCCCUGCUGUAGCCGGACAGUUGGAGGGUCCCGGGUGGGUGAGGUGUUUGGCUGAGAGAAACUCAGACCAAAAAGCAGCGGCAAGAAAGCAUUUGGGUUCCCACAAACCGCCCGAAGUCAAGGUAAGGGUCACACAACGACCCUUGACGAUUCCGACGAGUUCAUCCUGGUUCACAUCCCACUCCACGCCUCUGUCUUCUGGUUGGGCAAUAGUUACAUCCUUACGUAAAGGAGGCAAGCUGCGGGGCCUUGGUGGAUCCACUCAACCUUAUUACCAAGGGACAUGCUGCCAUGCUAUGUGAAAAGGGGGGUUUUGUUGUUUGUUUUUAAUUUAAGUACCUAAUUCGUUUCACGAAAGAAUGAUCAAUACCUGCCCAGAGUAAACUUGAUAAGUAAUUAAACUGUCAGGGCAUAGAGUUCCCAUAGAGAUGCUUGUUCUUUCAAUACACAAAUAAAAGGAUGCAAAAGUCAA